CUGGGAGGUGGAAGCUCCCACUGAAGCUAUGAGAAAAGGGAAUAAUUUUUGAGAAUAGAGGGAUCUUCAAUCCUGUUGUCAAAGACAUGGCAAGAACAUUUGGCUGGAAACCAAAGCAUGACAAGUUCAAGCAGAAGAGUCUCAGGAAGGAGUGGAAUUGGAGCCAGCACUUGAAGCCAGGAUUUGAAGCCAGGUCCUGUGGAUGGACAAUGAAACUCAGCUCUUUUUUCAUGGGGUACAGAGCAGCUGGGUAGGAACAUUUGUAAUAUAUGAAUUCAGAAU